GAAAGUAACAAAUCAAUGCUUCGUCGACGCUUUUCUACCUCUCUAGAUUCCUCUCCUCCAAUCCAACCACAAGAACCGUCUGGCGUCUGCUAAUCAAAACCAUACCCACAAUAGAAGAACCAGACAGCGGCGCACCCACAACCUCACAUCGGCGGCGCCGCUCUCUAGCUUCUUCUUUUCCAAUCCAACCUCAAAUCGGCGGCGCGCUCAUAUCCAAUCCAACUCGGCGGCACUUCUUCUCUUCCAUUCUAAAUCGGCGGCACCACCCACAAUCUUCAGAGAGGAAGCAGUGUACACAUUUAAUUUAACGAUUGUUCUUGGAGGACUGCUCUUCCACUCAAAUACUGUAACUUUUAUGCUAGGGGAGUUGGCUAAUGGAAGUCCCAAGGCUGGGGAUUAUGAGGGAAACAGGCUACUUAUAAAUUAUCAUGAAAAUUUGAAGAAGUUCAAAAUUAUGCAUGGUUAUUAGGAAUGGAAAACACAAAAGUUCAAAAUUUUUCAUUUUAAUUUACAUAGGAAUGGAAAACACAAAAUUUCACUUACAUACUCAUCUGAAUGUUGCUGUAUAUAGUCAGUCAUUUGAGACCAUAAUUUUUGGGAAGGUUGGUCAGAUGUGGGAAGGAUGUCUCUCAGUAAUCACAUUAUCAGAUUUGGGCAAAAUGCAUUUCAGGGAUUCAUAUGAGAAACUGCAUCUCAUAUUAUUUUUGGUCAGUGCUCUCCACUUCCUGGCCUGGUUGCUUUGCAGAGAUGUCCAUUCUCAUUUCUUGACUGAGGACCAAGUGCUCUCCACUUCCUGGUCCGGUUGCUUUGUAUAGUUAGGUUUUAUAUUUAUCAAAUCUUCAGUGACACGUCUGUUGAACUUAAUGUAUGCCUUUUUGGGUCACAAUGGGGCAGGGCUUUCGUGUCCUCCAUUACUGCAUUUGCCAUUUGGUUUUCA